rnacentral:piRNA from 1 species
UAACUCUGAGAAAAGAUUUCAAGGCCA